ensembl:snRNA Gm22021 predicted gene, 22021
CUGUUGCUUUCAGCAACACAUACACCAAAAUUGGAACAACACUGGGAAGGUCAGUAUGUCCCCUGCACAAGGAUGACAUGCAAAUUAAUGGAUUGUUCUAUAGAUCC